rnacentral:rRNA from 2 species
UUUUGGAAUAGGCUCAGGAUGAACGCUGGCGGCGUGCCUAAUACAUGCAAGUCGAACGAGUUCUGAUUAUUGAAAGGUGCUUGCAUCUUGAUUUAAUUUUGAACGAGUGGCGGACGGGUGAGUAACACGUGGGUAACCUGCCCUUAAGUGGGGGAUAACAUUUGGAAACAGAUGCUAAUACCGCAUAAAUCCAAGAACCGCAUGGUUCUUGGCUGAAAGAUGGCGUAAGCUAUCGCUUUUGGAUGGACCCGCGGCGUAUUAGCUAGUUGGUGAGGUAACGGCUCACCAAGGCAAUGAUACGUAGCCGAACUGAGAGGUUGAUCGGCCACAUUGGGACUGAGACACGGCCCAAACUCCUACGGGAGGCAGCAGUAGGGAAUCUUCCACAAUGGACGCAAGUCUGAUGGAGCAACGCCGCGUGAGUGAAGAAGGCUUUCGGGUCGUAAAACUCUGUUGUUGGAGAAGAAUGGUCGGCAGAGUAACUGUUGUCGGCGUGACGGUAUCCAACCAGAAAGCCACGGCUAACUACGUGCCAGCAGCCGCGGUAAUACGUAGGUGGCAAGCGUUAUCCGGAUUUAUUGGGCGUAAAGCGAGCGCAGGCGGUUUUUUAAGUCUGAUGUGAAAGCCCUCGGCUUAACCGAGGAAGUGCAUCGGAAACUGGGAAACUUGAGUGCAGAAGAGGACAGUGGAACUCCAUGUGUAGCGGUGAAAUGCGUAGAUAUAUGGAAGAACACCAGUGGCGAAGGCGGCUGUCUGGUCUGUAACUGACGCUGAGGCUCGAAAGCAUGGGUAGCGAACAGGAUUAGAUACCCUGGUAGUCCAUGCCGUAAACGAUGAAUGCUAGGUGUUGGAGGGUUUCCGCCCUUCAGUGCCGCAGCUAACGCAUUAAGCAUUCCGCCUGGGGAGUACGACCGCAAGGUUGAAACUCAAAGGAAUUGACGGGGGCCCGCACAAGCGGUGGAGCAUGUGGUUUAAUUCGAAGCAACGCGAAGAACCUUACCAGGUCUUGACAUCUUUUGAUCACCUGAGAGAUCAGGUUUCCCCUUCGGGGGCAAAAUGACAGGUGGUGCAUGGUUGUCGUCAGCUCGUGUCGUGAGAUGUUGGGUUAAGUCCCGCAACGAGCGCAACCCUUAUGACUAGUUGCCAGCAUUUAGUUGGGCACUCUAGUAAGACUGCCGGUGACAAACCGGAGGAAGGUGGGGAUGACGUCAAAUCAUCAUGCCCCUUAUGACCUGGGCUACACACGUGCUACAAUGGAUGGUACAACGAGUUGCGAGACCGCGAGGUCAAGCUAAUCUCUUAAAGCCAUUCUCAGUUCGGACUGUAGGCUGCAACUCGCCUACACGAAGUCGGAAUCGCUAGUAAUCGCGGAUCAGCACGCCGCGGUGAAUACGUUCCCGGGCCUUGUACACACCGCCCGUCACACCAUGAGAGUUUGUAACACCCGAAGCCGGUGGCGUAACCCUUUUAGGGAGCGAGCCGUCUAAGGUGGGACAAAUGAUUAGGGUG